AUUGAACGCUGGCGGCAGGCCUAACACAUGCAAGUCGAACGGUAACAGGAAGAAGCUUGCUUCUUUGCUGACGAGUGGCGGACGGGUGAGUAAUGUCUGGGAAACUGCCUGAUGGAGGGGGAUAACUACUGGAAACGGUAGCUAAUACCGCAUAACGUCGCAAGACCAAAGAGGGGGACCUUCGGGCCUCUUGCCAUCGGAUGUGCCCAGAUGGGAUUAGCUAGUAGGUGGGGUAACGGCUCACCUAGGCGACGAUCCCUAGCUGGUCUGAGAGGAUGACCAGCCACACUGGAACUGAGACACGGUCCAGACUCCUACGGGAGGCAGCAGUGGGGAAUAUUGCACAAUGGGCGCAAGCCUGAUGCAGCCAUGCCGCGUGUAUGAAGAAGGCCUUCGGGUUGUAAAGUACUUUCAGCGGGGAGGAAGGGAGUAAAGUUAAUACCUUUACUCAUUGACGUUACCCGCAGAAGAAGCACUGGCUAACUCCGUG
rnacentral:rRNA from 1 species